rnacentral:rRNA from 1 species
GUCUACGGCCAUACCACCCUGAACGUGCCUGGUCUCGUCUGGUAUCGGAAGCUAAGCAGGUUCGGGGCUGGUUAGUACUUGGACGAGAGACUGCCUGGGGACACCUGGUGCUAUAGGCA